GCAACUGAUAAGUCAAAACUUGCAAAAUUCAAUUGUUAAAGUUCUGCAAAAGAAGAAAUAAAUGAAGCACCUGAAUAAUCAACCAUUAUGAACAAUCAAGGGAUUGCAUUGAGCCAGAAAUCCAGGGAAGUUGCAGUAGAUGUAGAAAGGGAAGAACUAAAAGAUGAUUGUGGAGAGAGAGGAAAGGGAUUUUUGCAGGGAAGAACAAAGUUGAAGGGGCUUCAAUCCUUGGCUUUU
rnacentral:misc_RNA from 1 species